rnacentral:rRNA from 1 species
UUGGCUGGUAGCGCUUCGGCGCACCCAGAAACCCUUUGUGAACUUAUACCUACUGUUGCCUCGGCGCAGGCCGGCCUCUUCACUGAGGCCCCCUGGAGACAGGGAGCAGCCCGCCGGCGGCCAACUAAACUCUUGUUUCUUUAGUGAAUCUCUGAGUAAAAAACAUAAAUGAAUCAAAACUUUCAACAACGGAUCUCUUGGUUCUGGCAUCGAUGAAGAACGCAGCGAAAUGCGAUAAGUAAUGUGAAUUGCAGAAUUCAGUGAAUCAUCGAAUCUUUGAACGCACAUUGCGCCCUCUGGUAUUCCGGAGGGCAUGCCUGUUCGAGCGUCAUUUCAACCCUCAAGCCUGGCUUGGUGAUGGGGCACUGCUCUCUAGCGGGAGCAGGCCCUGAAAUCUAGUGGCGAGCUCGCCAGGACCCCGAGCGUAGUAGUUAUAUCUCGUUCUGGAAGGCCCUGGCGGUGCCCUGCCGUUAAACCCCCAACUUCUGAAAAUUUGACCUCGGAUCAGGUAGGAAUACCCGCUGAACUUAAGCAUAUCAAUAGGCGGGAAGAAUCUUGCUGGAAACGCGCUUGGGCACCAGAAACCUUUGUGAACUUAUACUACUGUUGCUCGGCGCAAGCGGCCUCUUCACUGAGGCCCCUGGAGACAGGGAGCGCCGCCGCGGCCACUAAACUCUUGUUUCUUUAGUGAAUCUCGAGUAAAAAAAUAAAGAAAUCAAAAUUUCAACGGAUCUCUUGUUCGGCAUCAUGAAGAAGCAGCAAAUGCAUAGUAAUGUGAAUUGCAAAAUUAUGAAAUCAUCAAUCUUUAGCAUUGCUUCUGGUAUUCGUAGGGCAUGACUGCUGCAGCUCAUUUACUCCACUGGCGCCUGGGUGGAGGAGGGCAUUGCUCUUCUAUGCGGAGCAGCUCGCAUAAUCUGAAUGGGCGAGGACCAGGACCGCAGUAGUAAUGUAUUAUAUUCGUUCUUGAUAAGCGGAGCGGGGCUGCCGUUAAACCCACUCUCUAAAAUAUUGACACCGCGACGGCGGGGAAUUAUG